rnacentral:rRNA from 1 species
ACAGCAGUCGCCGCGGUAAUACGAAGGGUGCAAGCGUUACUCGGAAUUACUGGGCGUAAAGCGUGCGUAGGUGGUGGUUUAAGUCCGUUGUGAAAGCCCUGGGCUCAACCUGGGAAUUGCAGUGGAUACUGGGUCACUAGAGUGUGGUAGAGGAUAGUGGAAUUUCCGGUGUAGCAGUGAAAUGCGUAGAGAUCGGAAGGAACAUCUGUGGCGAAGGCGACUAUCUGGGCCAACACUGACACUGAGGCACGAAAGCGUGGGGAGCAAACAGGAUUAGAGACCCCGGUAGUCCCUGUCUCUUAUAC